rnacentral:rRNA from 1 species
CCUACGGGGCGCAGCAGUGGGGAAUAUUGGACAAUGGGCGAAAGCCUGAUCCAGCCAUGCCGCGUGUGUGAAGAAGGCCUUCGGGUUGUAAAGCACUUUCAGUGGGGAAGAAAGCCUUGGGGCUAAUACCCUCGAGGAAGGACAUCACCCACAGAAGAAGCACCGGCUAACUCCGUGCCAGCAGCCGCGGUAAUACGGAGGGUGCGAGCGUUAAUCGGAAUUACUGGGCGUAAAGCGCGCGUAGGCGGUCUGAUAAGCCGGUUGUGAAAGCCCCGGGCUCAACCUGGGAACGGCAUCCGGAACUGUCAGGCUAGAGUGCAGGAGAGGAAGGUAGAAUUCCCGGUGUAGCGGUGAAAUGCGCAGAGAUCGGGAGGAAUACCAGUGGCGAAGGCGGCCUUCUGGACUGACACUGACGCUGAGGUGCGAAAGCGUGGGUAGCAAACAGGAUUAGAUACCCCAGUAGUC